AUUAUCUCCACCCAAGUGAAGAUAAUUACCUCUUUUGAAGAUUCCAUGUUUUUAUAAUCCUCCUUGUCCUCCGUGACUACUAGCAACUGUAUAAAGUACGGUUGGGGGGUAUGCAAUCACUGAAGGCUUGUAUCAUGUGGAUCUGCCAACAGUUUUGCUGUCAUAACUUGGAAUUCUUCAUGGGGGGCGACAGAAACUACACCCUAUAGCUUUA